GGGGCCCGCACAAGCGGUGGAGCAUGUGGUUUAAUUCGACGCAACGCGAAGAACCUUACCAGGGCUUGACAUCCCCUGACCGCGUAUGAAAGUACGUUUUCACCCUCGGGUGACAGGGAGACAGGUGGUGCAUGGUUGUCGUCAGCUCGUGUCGUGAGAUGUUGGGUUAAGUCCCGCAACGAGCGCAACCCCUAUUGUUAGUUGCCAUCAUUCAGUUGGGCACUCUAGCGAGACUGCCGGUAAUAAACCGGAGGAAGUGGGGAUGACGUCAAAUCAUCAUGCCCCUUAUGACCUGGGCUACACACGUGCUACAAUGGUUGGUACAACGAGUUGCGAGUCGGUGACGGCGAGCUAAUCUCUUAAAGCCAAUCUCAGUUCGGAUUGUAGGCUGCAACUCGCCUACAUGAAGUCGGAAUCGCUAGUAAUCGCGGAUCAGCACGCCGCGGUGAAUACGUUCCCGGGCCUU
rnacentral:rRNA from 1 species